UUGACCCAUUCUAGAAGAAGAAAGAGACCAAGACAUGUGGUCUGAGUGCUGUGAGCUGAAUGCUGGGGGACAGGAACUUGCCGGUUACCAGCCUCGCUUUGGCACUGACUUCUUUUGUAGCUUCAGGAAAUUUGUUCACAGCCAUGGACGUGGAAGCGAGAGAUCUCUGAUGUGCAAGACCCACACACGCACCUGCACUCUUUGUAAAAGUCCUAUGGCAUGCCAGCAUGGUUUGCAAAGUCGUUCCCUAGAUGCUUUACUGAAUCGAGGGUCUGUGCUGACAACAAAGUGAACUUCACAGCCCAGGGUUUUCCUGAGGAAGGAAAGGAGAGUCUGAGUCACUUGAAAAUGGGGGCCCUUCUUCUCUGGGUAUGACUAACUGGACCACAGACUGCCGUUAGAAGAAAGCAGAGAAUCUGGAGUCGUGGGCUGAAGAGGUUCCACAGCUGUUCCUCUUUUUAAUUUCCAGCCAAAACUGACAAGGGGCUCCUGGAAGUAUUGAUAGGCAGCUCAGCUGCUUUAGUCAUUAUUAGAUACAGAAAGUAGAAGUCCAAGUGUGCAAGAUGUGGGUCUGAGAAGAGCACUAUGAACUGGGAAUCAUGAGUUCAGAUUCCAGCACUGACAAAAAUUCAGUCACUAUCUCUCUGUGCCUCAAUUUCCGCAUCUGUAAAAUGGGUUAAUGAAAUGUACUCACCUAUCUCAUGUGGGAAGGGGGAGGAAGGAGAUUUUGGACUUAAAUAGGCUGGGAUUUUCAAAACAGCCCAAGGGAUUUAGACACCCAAAUCUCUAACUCUCUCAGGCUGCUUUAAAAAUCCCAGGCUCAGUGUCUGUAAAGUGCUUUGAAGAUGACAAAUGUUAUUAAGCAUUGUUUUUGCUUUAAUUCUGAGCCAGUAAGCGGAGGAAGGGGACAAUUCCCCCUCCUCUCCCAACAUGUGAACUCUGGCCUGCAUAGAACAUCUGAAAAUGUAACCCUGUUUAACCACAAAUA